rnacentral:rRNA from 1 species
AAACUAGGAUUAGAUACCCUAUUAUUUAAGAGCUUAAUGUUGUUAGUAAAUAUAAAUUAUGAAAGCAAAAAAUUAUGGCGGUAUUUUAAGCUUUUCAGAGGAAUUUGCUCUUUAAUGGAUAAAACACCUAAAUCUUACUUGAAUUUGUCAAACCAAUUUGUAUACCACUAUAAAAACAAUUAAUAAUUUUAAUUGUUAAGAUUUAUUAAAUUAAAUUAAAUUAAGUCAAGGUGCAGUAAAAAUUUAAGAAUGAAGUGAAUUACAUUACUUUUUAGUGAAAAAAUAUUAAAAUAAAUAAUUAGGAUUUGAAAGUAAAAUUAAAAUAUAAUGUUAAUUUGAAUUAAGCUCUAAAAUAUGUACACAUCGCCCG